rnacentral:tRNA from 1 species
GGUUGUGGCUCAGUGGUAAAGGACUCGCCUAGCACAUGUGAGGCCCUGGGUUUGAUUCUCAGCACCA